AGCAGCCGCGGUAAUUCCAGCUCCAAUAGCGUAUAUUAAAGUUGUUGCAGUUAAAAAGCUCGUAGUUGAACUUCGGGAUCAAUGAGUUGGUCGUGCCUUUGGUAUGAACUGGCUUUAUUGGUUCUCACCUUCUAAUGAACCAUAAUGUCAUUCAUUUGAUGUUUUGGGGAAUUAGGACUGUUACCUUGAAAAAUUAGAGUGUCUAAAGCAGGCUCACGCUUGAAUACAUUAGCAUGGAAUAAUGAAAUAGGACAUCGCAUUCUAUUUUGUUGGUUUCUAGGAUCGAUGUAAUGAUUAAUAGGGAUAGUUGGGGGCAUUAGUAUUCAAUUGUCAGAGGUGAAAUUCUUGGAUUUAUUGAAGACUAACUACUGCGAAAGCAUUUGCCAAGGAUGUUUUCAUUAAUCAAGAACGAAAGUUAGGGGAUCGAAGACGAUCAGAUACCGUCGUAGU
rnacentral:rRNA from 1 species